AGGAGGUAGGAGGCGACGCAGAGCGCCACGACGGCGGCCAAGGUGGGGAGCGGGAGCUUCAUGGAAGGCAGCAUGGCGCGCGCUCUCUAUUUCAGAUCGUGCUGAGAAGGGAGAAGAAAAGGGGAGGUGGAUGAAAGGUGCUUGCUUGCUUGGGAUGGAAGGUGACACCUGGUGCAAUGUGUCAUCCUGUCAAACCAUCAUGGAUGCUAGUGCUUGGGUGAAGUGAAGAGAUAUCUAAUAACCAGGUGAGCAGCAAACAGGUUAGGCAACAAACAGCCAACUAGUUCUGAAACUAACUACAUGACACUACCAUGGUUCACAAAUGUGGCCUACAUGAUCUUCUCUACCUAUGAUUCACAAGUGGACAAGAGGAUUGCUGUAGCUGUUAUUCAAGCCGAAGUAAGCCAACGAAAUACUAUACAUCUAUUCAUGUGUUAUCAGAAAUUCAGUCCAAUUAGAGUAAAAAAGUGAGAAUUCGCAUAGCACUUCUUUCAUAUUAUCAUGCAAAAAAGAGGAAGUGGUGAAGAAACUGUCUUAUUCUAUAGUGUUAGCCAAUGUAUCCCAUAAGAGCUAAACAAUGGAGUUCAUCUGUAUACCGGAGUUUCAUAUUAUUAGACAGGAGAUAUCGGAGUUUCAGUUGAAUCAACAGUCAGUCGUUAAGUAUGAUGCUAAAGUUUUAGCUGAAUCAACAACGGUUAGUUAAGUGUGACUCUGUGACUCUGAAAACGGCAUGUUCAAUGAUAGAAUUCAUUAUAUGCUCUAUCUCAAGCCAUGCUAGCAGAA